rnacentral:rRNA from 1 species
GAGUAACACGUGGGUAACCUGCCUGUAAGACUGGGAUAACUCCGGGAAACCGGAGCUAAUACCGGAUAGUUCCUUGAACCGCAUGGUUCAAGGAUGAAAGACGGUUUCGGCUGUCACUUACAGAUGGACCCGCGGCGCAUUAGCUAGUUGGUGAGGUAACGGCUCACCAAGGCGACGAUGCGUAGCCGACCUGAGAGGGUGAUCGGCCACACUGGGACUGAGACACGGCCCAGACUCCUACGGGAGGCAGCAGUAGGGAAUCUUCCGCAAUGGACGAAAGUCUGACGGAGCAACGCCGCGUGAGUGAUGAAGGUUUUCGGAUCGUAAAGCUCUGUUGUUAGGGAAGAACAAGUGCAAGAGUAACUGCUUGCACCUUGACGGUACCUAACCAGAAAGCCACGGCUAACUACGUGCCAGCAGCCGCGGUAAUACGUAGGUGGCAAGCGUUGUCCGGAAUUAUUGGGCGUAAAGGGCUCGCAGGCGGUUUCUUAAGUCUGAUGUGAAAGCCCCCGGCUCAACCGGGGAGGGUCAUUGGAAACUG